UCUAGAGUUUGAUCAUGGCUCAGGACGAACGCUGGCGGCGUGCCUAAUACAUGCAAGUCGAACGAACUCUGGUAUUGAUUGGUGCUUGCAUCAUGAUUUACAUUUGAGUGAGUGGCGAACUGGUGAGUAACACGUGGGAAACCUGCCCAGAAGCGGGGGAUAACACCUGGAAACAGAUGCUAAUACCGCAUAACAACUUGGACCGCAUGGUCCGAGCUUGAAAGAUGGCUUCGGCUAUCACUUUUGGAUGGUCCCGCGGCGUAUUAGCUAGAUGGUGGGGUAACGGCUCACCAUGGCAAUGAUACGUAGCCGACCUGAGAGGGUAAUCGGCCACAUUGGGACUGAGACACGGCCCAAACUCCUACGGGAGGCAGCAGUAGGGAAUCUUCCACAAUGGACGAAAGUCUGAUGGAGCAACGCCGCGUGAGUGAAGAAGGGUUUCGGCUCGUAAAACUCUGUUGUUAAAGAAGAACAUAUCUGAGAGUAACUGUUCAGGUAUUGACGGUAUUUAACCAGAAAGCCACGGCUAACUACGUGCCAGCAGCCGCGGUAAUACGUAGGUGGCAAGCGUUGUCCGGAUUUAUUGGGCGUAAAGCGAGCGCAGGCGGUUUUUUAAGUCUGAUGUGAAAGCCUUCGGCUCAACCGAAGAAGUGCAUCGGAAACUGGGAAACUUGAGUGCAAAAAAGGACAGUGGAACUCCAUGUGUAGCGGUGAAAUGCGUAGAUAUAUGGAAGGAACACCAGUGGCGAAGGCGGCUGUCUGGUCUGUAACUGACGCUGAGGCUCGAAAGUAUGGGUAGCAAACAGGAUUAAAUACCCUGGUAGUCCAUACCGUAAACGAUGAAUGCUAAGUGGUGGAGGGUUUCCCCCCCUUCAGUGCUGCAGCUAACGCAUUAAGCAUUCCGCCUGGGGAGUACGGC
rnacentral:rRNA from 1 species